rnacentral:misc_RNA from 1 species
UUCCGUUCGUGAGCCCACGUUUGGGCCCGAGCCCGGAGUCCUCGGUUCCCCAGGACCGUGUUCUCUCAGAUCCAGCGCGCCGACCGUUCCCGGCGGGUUCCUCUCAUGCUUGAGCGCAGAGGCCCCGCAGGAACGUUGCGCCCGACGGCGGCCUGAGCGUCCGUCAGCAAGCUCCCUCGGGAUGCUACACACUCAUGACCUCACCGGGGUAGGACAACCCGCUAGACUUAA